CGCGUAGGUGGCUUGUCAGGUCUGAUGUGAAAACCUGGGGCUCAACCCCAGGCGUGCAUCGGAAACCGGCUUGCUAGAGUCUGGGAGAGGAGAGUGGAAUUCCUGGUGUAGCGGUGAAAUGCGUAGAUAUCAGGAGGAACGCCGGUAGCGAAGGCGGCUCUCUGGAACAGUACUGACACUGAGGCGCGAAAGCUAGGGGGAGCGAACA
rnacentral:rRNA from 1 species